GCCAGACUGAUGACUGGGAGCACACACCCACCAAAAUUCCUCUAAUGAAAAUAGGGACGUCCCUAUUUUCAUCAGAGAAAUUUUGGUGGGUAUGCGCUCCCAGUCACUAGUCUGGC